rnacentral:rRNA from 1 species
GGAAGGUAAUAACAUCGAACGUGUCUUCUGUGGGGAGUAACUGCCCGAAACGACGAGCUAAUACCGCAUGAGACCUGAGGGUGAAAGCGGGGGGAGUCGCAAGACCUCGCGCUGAAGAGCGGCCGAUGUCCGAUUAGCUAGUUGGUGAGGUAAAAGGCUCACCAAGGCGACGAUCGGUAGCUGGUCUGAGAGGACGACCAGCCACACUGGGACUGAGACACGGCCCAG